GUGCCAGCCGCCGCGGUAAAACGUAGGAGGCGAGCGUUAUCCGGAUUUACUGGGCGUAAAGCGUGCGCAGGCGGCUUUGAAAGUCGGAUGUGAAAGCUCCUGGCUUAACUGGGAGAGGCCAUUCGAAACUGCGAGGCUUGAGGUUGGGAGAGGGGUGCGGAAUUCCCGGUGUAGUGGUGGAAUGCGUAGAUAUCGGGAGGAACACCUGUGGCGAAAGCGGCACCCUGGCCCACACCUGACGCUGAGGCACGAAAGCGUGGGUAGCAAACAGGAUUAGAUACCCGCGUAGUCC
rnacentral:rRNA from 1 species